GACGAACGCUGGCGGCGUGCUUAACACAUGCAAGUCGAGCGGGAUCCAACCGGUGGCAACACCGGGGAAGAUCUAGCGGCGAACGGGUGAGUAACACGUGAGCAACCUGCCCCGAAGACUGGGAUAACACCGGGAAACCGGUGCUAAUACCGGAUGUCGUCAUUAGGCCGCAUGACCUGAUGAUGAAAGGAUUCAUCGCUUCGGGGAGGGGCUCGCGGGCUAUCAGCUGGUUGGUGGGGUAACGGCCUACCAAGGCGACGACGGCUAGCUGGUCUGAGAGGACGACCAGCCACACUGGGACUGAGACACGGCCCAGACUCCUACGGGAGGCAGCAGUGGGGAAUCUUGCGCAAUGGGCGAAAGCCUGACGCAGCAACGCCGC
rnacentral:rRNA from 1 species